UCCGAGUUCACCCCGGCAGUCUCCUACAAGUCCCCGGCAUAACCCGCUGGCAACAUAGGACAAGGGUUGCGCUCGUUGCGGGACUUAACCCAACAUCUCACGACACGAGCUGACGACAACCAUGCACCACCUGUACACCCCCAACUAAAUGACCCCACAUCUCUGCAGGAACUGGGUGCAUGUCAAGCCCAGGUAAGGUUCUUCGCGUUGCGUCGAAUUAAACCACAUGCUCCGCUGCUUGUGCGGGCCCCCGUCAAUUCCUUUGAGUUUUAGCCUUGCGGCCGUACUCCCCAGGCGGGGCACUUAAUGCGUUAGCUUCGGCACGGGCGGAGUUGACACCGCCCACACCUAGUGCCCAUCGUUUACGGCGUGGACUAC
rnacentral:misc_RNA from 1 species